rnacentral:rRNA from 1 species
UGGGGAAUAUUGGACAAUGGACCGAGAGUCUGAUCCAGCAAUUCUGUGUGCACGAUGAAGUUUUUCGGAAUGUAAAGUGCUUUCAGUUGGGAAGAAAUAAAUGACGGUACCAACAGAAGAAGUGACGGCUAAAUACGUGCCAGCAGCCGCGGUAAUACGUAUGUCACGAGCGUUAUCCGGAUUUAUUGGGCGUAAAGCGCGUCUAGGUGGUUAUAUAAGUCUGAUGUGAAAAUGCAGGGCUCAACUCUGUAUUGCGUUGGAAACUGUAUAACUAGAGUACUGGAGAGGUAAGCGGAACUACAAGUGUAGAGGUGAAAUUCGUAGAUAUUUGUAGGAAUGCCGAUGGGGAAGCCAGCUUACUGGACAGAUACUGACGCUGAAGCGCGAAAGCGUGGGUAGCAAACAGG